ensembl:lncRNA
CUCGAGUUUUAACCCUUGGCAGCUUGUGUGUGUCUUCCUUUAUGUUUAUUAUAGAGCUGUACUGUAUUAUCUCCCUCCUACCCAUAAUCCUAGAGCCAUACUGGUGUGAGCACAUGUUCUUUAAUGUAUGUUUGUAUCACACUGAGAGUAGUUACCAUGGCUUAGUACAGGGACUCUUUUGAAGGGUAAUGGUAACUACUAACACUUGCCUUAAUAAGCCCUACUUAUAACCCCCAUAACCCAAGCUGUGACUUCAAGUGUCAUAGAACUCAUACUCUAUCUGUGGGUUUAUUAGCUUCCAACCCAAAGUGAGACAGUCUAGCCUUUACACAACUGGUAGUCGCCAAAUGUCUUAAAGGGGAAUUUCAAAAUUGUUCAACUUCAUAUCCAUAAUUUCCAGCACUACUCCAACAUCAUGCAUCAUCUGAUGUGCAUCAUGUGAUUUUAACUAAGUAGUAGGCAAUGCCUACUCAUCAUUGGUUGAAAUCACACCAGAUGAUGCCAUUGGAAAAACGUACCUUCCUUCAUCUUUUUGACUACAAAACAUAGAAACAUGCCAUUUUCACGUAUGUUGAUGUUGGGAUAGUGCUGAAUGUGAAGUUGACAUUUUUUUUUCAAUAAUUUCCUUGAAAUAGUGCUUCUAAUCCUAUUAUAAUGUUGUGUUUAUGAAGGAGUUACACUGCCCUUAUGUAAUACCCAUCAUAUGACUCAGCUGUAACACCUGAUGCUGGAGCAGGCACAUACUGUACUACCAUUAUUAUAGACUAGUCCAAUGAGCUUAGCAGUGUUUAGAAGUGUGAAUAUUUUUUUAAGGCCGUACUAAAUCUGCAAAGUACAUUUCUUUCACUUGGCUGUUGUUGUGUCAAUAAUGCUGAUAUUAUGAUCAUGAUGUGACAUUAUAAAUGUUGUCCACCCUCCACCUUGAAGCCGACGGUUGCAUUUUAGUUGUAAAAUAUCACAACGAUAAUACACAGGGUAUAAACUCAGUUUCUAAUACAUUGAUUCGUGUGCCAAAUGAUGCUUCUGCAGAUUUCUACUCUGUUAGGUAAAUGUGAGCAGAGUUAUUGUUUGUGUAUUGUCUUUGCUGAUGAAGUGUAAGAAAACAUGCUUAUGCAUCCCUGUGAGUAUGCUGUCUAGUGCGUAACUGAUAUGAAAGGGCAAAAAAAACUGUCUUAAGGGCUUUAAUGUUUAAAUGUGCAGAUUUUAAAUGUCAAAACAAUAAAUUCAUGUCUGUUUUGAAAGACUAA